AUUGAACGCUGGCGGUAUGCUUAACAUAUGCAAGUCGAACGGCAGCACGGUAUGUAGCAAUACAUAUGGGUGGCAAGUGGCGGACGGGUGAGUAACGCGUAGGAAUCUGCCCUCAAGCGGGGGACAACCCGAGGAAACUCGGGCUAAUACCGCAUAAACUCGGAAGAGAAAAGCUGGGGUAACCUGGCACUUGAGGAGGAGCCUGCGUUUGAUUAGCUAGUUGGUAGGGUAAAGGCCUACCAAGGCGAUGAUCAGUAGCUGGUCUGAGAGGAUGACCCGCGACAGUCGAACUGAGACACGGUCCAGACUCCUACGGGAGGCAGCAGCGGGGAAUAUUGGACAAUGGGGGAAACCCUAAUCCAGCAAUACCGCGUGUGUGAAGAAGGCCUUCGGGUUGUAAAGCACUUUAGUUGGGGAGGAAGGUUAGCAGUUUAGGAGAUGGCUAAUUUGACUGUACCCAAAGAAUAAGCACCGGCUAACUCUGUGCCAGCCGCCGCAGUAA
rnacentral:rRNA from 1 species